UUUCAUGUACAUAGUAUCAAGAAGGGGAAGAGGCUGCAUAUACCUUUUACUUCUCCAUCUUCAAGUUCUUCAAGAGAUUCUAUCUCUGGAAUUUUUCAACAACGACAGCUCGACGACUACCAGUAUAAGUUCAAAGAGAUCAAUCGUCAACUUUUCCGACUUCAAGUGGAAGGUCAGAAAUCCUCUAAUAACUAUGACUUCCACACUGCUCAAUCUCUCUC
rnacentral:lncRNA from 1 species